GACGAACGCUGGCGGCGUGCCUAAUACAUGCAAGUUGAGCGCUGAAGGUUGGUACUUGUACCAACUGGAUGAGCAGCGAACGGGUGAGUAACGCGUGGGGAAUCUGCCUUUGAGCGGGGGACAACAUUUGGAAACGAAUGCUAAUACCGCAUAAAAACUUUAAACACAAGUUUUAAGUUUGAAAGAUGCAAUUGCAUCACUCAAAGAUGAUCCCGCGUUGUAUUAGCUAGUUGGUGAGGUAAAGGCUCACCAAGGCGAUGAUACAUAGCCGACCUGAGAGGGUGAUCGGCCACAUUGGGACGGAGACACGGCCCAAACUCCUACGGGAGGGAGCAGUAGGGAAUCUUCGGCAAUGGACGAAAGUCUGACCGAGCAACGCCGCGUGAGUGAAGAAGGUUUUCGGAUCGUAAAACUCUGUUGGUAGAGAAGAACGUUGGUGAGAGUGGAAAGCUCAUCAAGUGACGGUAACUAACCAGAAAGGGACGGCUAACUACGUG
rnacentral:rRNA from 1 species